rnacentral:rRNA from 1 species
GCCGCGUGGAGGAAGAAGGUUUUCAGAUUGUAAAUUCCUGUCGUUAGAGACGAUAAUGACGGUACCUAACAAGAAAGCACCGGCUAACUACGUGCCAGCAGCCGCGGUAAUACGUAGGGUGCAAGCGUUGUCCGGAAUUACUGGGUGUAAAGGGAGCGCAGGCGGGAAGACAAGUCGGAAGUGAAAACCAUGGGCUCAACCCAUGAAUUGCUUUCAAAACUGUUUUUCUUGAGUAGUGCAGAGGUAGAUGGAAUUCCCGAGUGUAGCGGUGGAAUGCGUAGAUAUCUGGGAGGAACACCAGUGGCGAAGGCGGUCUACUGGGCUCCAACUGACGCUGAGGCUCGAAAGCAUGGGUAGCAAACAGGAUUAGAUACCCUGGUAGUCCACGCCGUAAACGAUGAUUAUUAGGUGUGGGGGGGAUUGACCCCCUCCAGUGCCGCAGUUAUCACAAUAAGUAAUCCACCUGGGGAGUAGGACCGCAAGGUUGAAACUCACAGGAAGUGACGGGGGGCCCGCACACGCAGCAGAGUAUGUGGUGUAAUUUGAAGCAACACGAAGAACAUCUAUCACAGCUGUACACAUACAGGAAUACUUAAGAAAUUAGGUCGUCUUUCGAGACUUGUAAACAGGUGGCGCAUGGUUGUCGUCAGCUUGCGUCGUGAGAUGUUGGAUUAAGUCCCGCAACGAGCGCAACCCCUAUUUCUAGUCGCCAGCACGUAAAGGUGGGAACUCUAGAGAGACUGCCGAUGACGAAUCGGAGGAAGGUGGGGACGACGUCAAAUCAUCAUGCCCUUUAUGUCCUGGGCUACACACGUAAUACAAUGGCCGUAACAGAGAGAAACGAAACAGCGAUGUGGAGUAAAACUUAAAAAAGCGGUCUCAGUUCGGAUUGAAGGCUGAAAUUCGCCUACAUGAAGUUGGAAUUGCUAGUAAUGGCAGGUCAGCAUGCUGCGGUGAAUACGUUCCCGGGUCUUGCACACACCGCCCGUCA